AUUGGGAGCACAAUUUUCAAAGGACGAACAGAAGCGGAUACUUUCCUAAGGUCAUAUUAAAGAUGUACAGCCCAAAGCGGAAAAACUCCCUGCCCGGUUCCAAGAUGAAUGCUUCCUUGUACCACGUGUCUGACGCCGCUUACUCUCGGUUCCACGUCAGGUUUAGCUCCGUCAGCCUCCAUUAGUCACGUUUAAAGGGGCAGUACCCCGAGUUUACUCUGGGACGCCUCUGGAGCUGGGAAGAUGGCUACUGGAUGCAAUGGGGAGGGCAGGAGGGGUGAGGAUGUGGAGAAGCGCCUGCUCUUUGUAGAAAACCCGUUGCUAACAUAGUCGGAAACCAAGGCUCUUAGGUGGCAAGUGAUUUCCAUUCCUGAGAGCGGAAAUCAUCACCAGGUAGUUGGAGAGGACUCAAGAAUGCUGACACUUUGUCUACUCUCUUGUUUUGUUUUGGGAAGGGGGAGGGGGAUUAGGUUGGUUGGUUGGUUGGUUGGUUGGUUUAUAAUGGAAGUACUGGAGAUAGUUUUGAGAAGCGGGAGGUAAUUGAGUUUAUUUAUUUAUUUAUUUAUAAUGAAAGUACUGGGGAUUGAACCCAGGACCUUGUACAUGAUAAACAUGCACUCUACCACUGAGCUAUACCCUCCCCCAGUCUACUCUUUUGAGUAUGCGCCAGGAGUCAGGGUUGGGUUGACUCUUUUUAGGCCAAAGAUAGCCCCUCCUGUCUCAAAACCAGGUGUGAAUGUCCUUUCUACUCAAAGGCCGCUCUAAUUAACAACACAAAACCAUAUAUGUAUAAAAUAUUUUAUAUAUAUAAAGUAAUCCCAAAAUUACUUGAUAAUAGUAUUCCACCAAAUUUCCAGUACUUAUCCCACUAGUAUUGUUUUUCUGUGCAUUUGUGGAUGUGCAUGAGUGCGCAAAUGUGCCUCUUUGACUGGAAAUUCCCUAAAGGCAAGUGUUUUCUGUUGCACAGGGUGUCCCCAUGGUGCUAAGGACACACAGAUAUCUGUAUACAAGGCAUCAUCACACAUAAUGAGUCUGGAUCUGAAAGAGGUACAGAGGGCAAUAGGAGUGCAUGGAGGGAGCAAUUAGUUGUGACCAGGGGAAGAGAAGACCUUGAGGAAGAGUAGUAUCUCCAAAGAUUUCAGUAGGUGGCAAGGAUGGAAGGGUCUUCUGAACAGGGAAAGUAAGACUCCAGAAGCAGGUGGAAAGAAGGAGCUUGUGGGAGCCCCAGCAGAGGCACAUUCAGUUAUCUUAUGGAUCAGGAGCAGGCUGAAACUCCCUGAAGGUCUGAGGAACAGUCUGCAUCUAUUUCCUGUUUUAUUAGGAAGCCAAUCCUAAUAAAUCUUACUUCUCUGCCUGGCAUUGAGAACCUUUGUCUCUUUCUUCUCCAGAGAUCAUUAACCCUCCCCAACAAUCCCUGCUGGACGAGGGUGGGGGACUUGGUCUAAAAAAGACACUGGGGACUCAUCGUCCACACAUAUGUUACCAUCAACAUGGUUACUUGGAUACUUGUUGUGUAAUCUGAAUAUUUUUGUUCCCAUUAUAGUAAAUGCACAGUUGAUUCCCAGACUCACCAGGAGAAACAAACACAUGACCUGGCCACACUUGAAAUUUUGUGCCUGUCCUAGUACAAGUUCAAAGCAUUUGCCUGAAGGCUGGAGCUGGUCCUAGGGCUUACAGAUCAGGAGUCUUCAUCAUAUUAAAGCACCUUGAUUGAAUACUUGGGAAGAGAGAUGCAUAAGACAGGGUCCCCACUCUCAAGCAGUUCUCUGGUGAAUGGGAAAACAGACAUACAAACAACCAGCUAGACUACAAGGGAGAAUGAAAUAAGUGCUAGAGGUCUAAGUAACAAGCCGAUGGAAGACUGGGAGGACUAACUAAGGAAACUCACAUAAGACUGAAAUUGUGAAGCAGUAUCUGGCAGCAAAGGACCAAGUGCUCAGUGGAGGAGUUGAAAUAAACCCAAGAACUCGGAGAACUGAGAUGAAUACUGAAGAAGGGUUCUUGGGGGAAGAGGGUCUUCAUUGUGAAAUCACCUGGACAACUUCCCACAUAACCUGCUCCCGAGCCCUAGUUGGUCUGCCCACUGACAGCUUCCUUCUGCAUCCCUGAGUUCUCUCCUCCCUUCAUUUCAUGCCCUCUCCCCUCAAGAUUAAAAAUCCACACUCUUGGAA